CAAUGUUUGUUAUUGGUUUCAAGUUUUCAAUUAAUGGCGGAUCUAAAAGCAAAGGAAAUACGUCAUACCACUAGAGAUUAAGUGGAAACAUAAACUUAAGCCUUACGUUUCCAUCUAUGUUCUAUGAUCAUAACGUUAAACACGAGUAUUGCAUCUCUUGGCUCACUAUAGAUUGCAUAACAAAAAAAAGAAAAAAAAAAAGCCCUCCACCAUCUUUUGACCAUAUUAGUGGAACCUUUAUGUGACAAUUCUCCAACUUUUAAAUCCUGACCCAGAAAAAAAAUCUCUAUCAUUAGAAUGGGAUGGGGAGCUUAUUUAAGCCAUGCAUACAAAUGUUAUUGGCUAACAUAUUUUACAACUUUAUGUAGAGAAAGACUAUAAAAGCUUAUUAUUAUACAAUAGAACUUUCUCCUAUGCUUUUACGGAAGCAUGACAUCCACACAAAAUAUCAAUCUCAUCCAUAAUCUCAUCCAUAACUAAUGUCUAACUCACAUAUUUUCCAAACAAGCAAAAUUUUCCAAAGAUUAGAUGUCAACAUUUGAAAAAGUUUUAGCGUGGUCUAGUUAUAACGACUCAAGUACAAAUUAAUACGAACAAAAAACACACAGGUAAACUUACAUUUAGUUGAUGCACUAUUGGAACAAUGACUCUUCAUCAGCUCGGUCUUAUCCAAAUAAAAAGACAUGUUGAUUCAGCAAAGAUGAUUUUGUAUCUCAAACCAGAAAGCUUGUGAUGGUUGUGCCAUGCCUGGAACGUAUUUGACC
rnacentral:lncRNA from 1 species